CGAUUGAUUAAUACGCCCUUGUUAAUAGAUGUUGUUAAUAUAACCAAGAAGCGAAACACGACGGUAGGCGGGAUGCUGGAAAUCCAGUUAGUGGUAUUUUGGUCGUCGUAAACACUGAUGCUCUUUAAAUGAAUCGAAUACGACGUGAUACUUGGCCAUGACAGAGUGAAAACUCUCUCCCGUGCUGGGCGUAUUUCUUAAAUGGGAUGACACAAUCGAUGGAAGCAGGAGAUGUUUGGGGCAACUAGGAAAUACGACUCUUCUGUUCUACAUAUUAAGAAACCUACACUGAAUCUAUGGCAAACAACUAACUGCCAAGUUCUGUGUUUAAUCACUCUGUGGUAGUGGAGCAUUAGUAGGUGAGGGAGUGGCUUGACGAGAAUCAUCACUUUGUUUCUGACGCAUUUGCUCCUGCAUCUUUGUCAACAUCUCCUGCAUGCGCCGGAGUUCUGCUUCCUUCUCUCGGAUGAUACGUUCUCUUU